rnacentral:rRNA from 1 species
GACGAACGCUGGCGGCGUGCCUAAUACAUGCAAGUCGAGCGGACGGAUGGGAGCUUGCUCCCAGACCGUCAGCGGCGUACGGGUGAGUAACACGUGGGCAACCUGCCUGUAAGACUGGGAUAACUCCGGGAGACCGGGGCUAAUACCGGAUAACUCUUUCCCUCACAUGAGGGAAAGCUGAAAGAUAGCAUCUCGCUAUCACUUACAGAUGGGCCCGCGGCGCAUUAGCUAGUUGGUUAGGUAACGGCUCACCAAGGCAGCGAUGCGUAGCCGACCUGAGAGGGACGUCGGCCACACGGGCUGAGAGCCAGGGCGCAGACACUUAGGGGGGGACGCAGUCGGGAAUCUUACGCAAUGGAGGAGAGGCUGACAGAGCAACGCGGCGGGAGCGAUGAUGGUUUGAGGACCGUAAAACGAUGUUGUAAGGCAGGAAGAAAACCUGGAGCAGCAGCGGAGACAUUGACGGUACCUGACCAGAAAGCCCCGGCUAACUACGUG